CUCAUUACUCCGAAGAAUAAACCUCCAACUUGCUGCCAGGAAGUAGGGAAAGGGCUGCUGCAUGAACGCACACGUGAGUGGAGACGUGAUGGGUUCAACCACACUGUGGGCCAACUUCCAGCAAACGCCCUUUUUUGCUGUGAGCUUUGUUCUCACCUUCCUUUUCAAAUAUUCAUUUCUUAUAAACACUGAGCAACCCAGAGGUUCUUCAGGGUGAAGCAGCUCUGUUCCCACUUGUCUGCAAGCAAUUGGCUUUCUCCUUUCUUCGUUCUGCCAAGGAAAUGAAUGUGAUGAUGUGAUGGCUGGAACGUUGGCAGUCAUCUUAGACCCAGGGACUGAAAACGGCUUGAGGAGAAAUGUGGAGCAAAGAGAUUGAAGGAACUUGGAUCCUUACCGACCUGGCACUAUCUCCUGCAGACUUGUUUUUCACGAGAGAGGAAUAAACGUCUAUCUUUCAACGGAUGGCUGCUGGGGAAUGACAGUGACUGGGACCCACACACAACCCCGGAAGGACAAGUGGAGGAGGCGUGCACAGCUGGGGAGUGACAGGCUACUGAGCCUUGGAGACAUACCCUUUCUCCUCUGCAGUCCCAUCCCCCUCAGCCUGCAGACAGAACAACUGAGCCUCAACAAUCGUCUGCAUGGCUGUUAAGGGUCUUGGAGGGGAGAAGCUGCCAAGAGCCAGGCAAGCCUGCAAUUAUGGUAAUGAAAUCAGUCUCUGGGUAGAAGAUAAGGGGGAACAUGCCCAAUGGUUUUGGUAUUCCAUUUGUAUUCAGACUGGAGUCAAAGGGAUUGCCUAAACAAAACGUGCCCUGCAAUUUCUCCAAGCUGGGAAUAAAAACAAUUUCAUGUUUUAAGCUA